UGCGUUACGCACUCCAGUCAGCAGAUGGCGGUCUGGAAAUUUAAGGCGAUGCUGUUGGUGUGACUUAUAAUCUAGUGGACGGAACGCUUCUUUCAACAGCUUUCAUAAGCAAUAAUAGUUAGUCUGACACCUCGGUAGCUUGCUAGACAAAAUAGCUGAACCAAUAAAGCUCUUUAGAAGCUUUCGUGUUUAUUAGCCACUGUGUUCUAAACCCACUUCUGUCGUCUAGUUAGUUAUCCGAUUUGAUUUCAUAUUUACAGUGUUGUUGUUAUUAGUCAGCGAGCGGUCUGGUUAAGUUUGCAUUAGCCUAGCUAACACCUCCGACCAUGCGGUCACUAAGCUACUAUCCUGCUAAAGAAGAAGGAGAUAUCACAGUAAAACAAGAAGUAGAGGAUGAGGCCGUUACUGUGAAAGAAGAGGAAGACGCGUUCAAAGUGUUAGAGGAGGAGGAUGUUACAGUAAAAUAAGAGGAUUAUGCAGUUUAUGGCGUGAAGGAGGAGGUGGAGAGGACUGUUACAUCGAAAAAGGAGGAAGAAGAGGAGGAAACUGGAUAUCUGGGCCGUUUCCCAAACGCAUCUUAAGGCAUCCAAUGGUUCUAACGAUGAAUUUAGCCAUAAAAUGGUUUUGAGAAACCGUUCCCUGAUUAACACUACAACAAAAUGGCUGCCCAGAGACCUGGUUUGGUAAACAGCUGAGGGAUGGAGGAAGAAGAAGUGUAACCACUCAAAUUCAUAGAGAACGGUAGAAACCGUAACCCAACACCUAGCGACCUCUUCACGAACUUCAGACACCACAUGGCGUAACAGUUAUAAGGUGUUGGCUUGACAGUCGCUGGACCCAGGUUUGAGUUCAGCUCAGGGCUACCCCCAGAAUUCACUACACUAUGAAUACAAGGACUGGCCAUCCGUGAUGUCAAAAUGAUAGUUUAACCAGGUUUCUAGGCUAUAUAGUAUAUUCCAGAAUUCAUCCAUGAGGUCAUAAUGAUAGUUUAACCAGAUUUCUAGGCUAUAUAGUAUAUUCUAGAAUUCAUCCAUGAGGUCAUAAUGAUAGUUUAACCAGGUUUCUAGGAUAUAUCGUAUAUUCUAGAAUUGCCAGUGUAGAUUUCCUGUGGGGGUCAAAUUAUUAGAGCUGUUGAUAAGUCAUUGUAUCAUAUUCAGCCAUUUUUUUUCAUGCCCUUACAUUAAAGGCAAGACAUACAUAGAUUCAAUUACAUUAAUGAAUUGGUUUGAAACCUUUGUUUUAAACCCUUCUCAAAGUUGGUGCCUUGACGGAUUUGUAAAAAAUGGUUUGUCAUGAAACACAAUUUUUCAUUUGUUUAAAUGUAACCUUUAUUUAACUAGGCAAGUCAGUUAAGAACAUAUUCUUAUUUACAAUGACUGCCUACCCUGGAUGACGCUGGGCCAAUUGUGCGGCGCCCUAUUGGACUCCCAAUCACGGCCUUUUGUGAUACAGCCUGGAUUUGAACAUGGGUGUCUAUAGUGACACCUCAAGCACUGAGAUGCAGUGUCUGCUGUGCCACUCGGGAGCCCCAGAAUCAUGUUCCAGUGCUGUCCCCAACUAAAAUACAUCUUGGUCAACCAAGAGUCAGUCAUCUGUUCUUUCUACCAAUCGCCCCAUGUGUUUUUAUAAAAUCUAUAUGUACU